rnacentral:tRNA from 1 species
GCCUCUGUAGCUCAGUGGUAGAGCGCGUGCAUGGUAAGCACGAGGUCGCGAGUUCAAUCCUCGCCAGAGGCU